rnacentral:rRNA from 1 species
ACGGGGUAUUGCCUUAGUAACGGCGAGUGAAGCGGCAAAAGCUCAAAUUUGAAAUCUGGUACCUUCGGUGCCCGAGUUGUAAUUUGGAGAGGGCAACUUUGGGGCCGUUCCUUGUCUAUGUUCCUUGGAACAGGACGUCAUAGAGGGUGAGAAUCCCGUGUGGCGAGGAGUGCGGUUCUUUGUAAAGUGCCUUCGAAGAGUCGAGUUGUUUGGGAAUGCAGCUCUAAGUGGGUGGUAAAUUCCAUCUAAAGCUAAAUAUUGGCGAGAGACCGAUAGCGAACAAGUACAGUGAUGGAAAGAUGAAAAGAACUUUGAAAAGAGAGUGAAAAAGUACGUGAAAUUGUUGAAAGGGAAGGGCAUUUGAUCAGACAUGGUGUUUUGUGCCCUCUGCUCCUUGUGGGUAGGGGAAUCUCGCAUUUCACUGGGCCAGCAUCAGUUUUGGUGGCAGGAUAAAUCCAUAGGAAUGUAGCUUGCCUCGGUAAGUAUUAUAGCCUGUGGGAAUACUGCCAGCUGGGACUGAGGACUGCGACGUAAGUCAAGGAUGCUGGCAUAAUGGUUAUAUGCCGCCCGUCUUGAAACCCCGAAACCA